GACAGAGGGUGCAAACGUUGUUCGGAAUUACUGGGCAUAAAGCGCGUGUAGGCGGCCCUGCAAGUCGGAUGUGAAAUCCCACGGCUCAACCGUGGAAGUGCAUUCGAAACUGCAGGGCUAGAGUCCUGGAGAGGAAGGUGGAAUGCUUGGUGUAGAGGUGAAAUUCGUAGAUAUCAAGCGGAACACCGGUGGCGAAGGCGGCCUUCUGGACAGUGACUGACGCUGAGACGGCGAAAAGCGUGGGGAGCAAACAGG
rnacentral:rRNA from 1 species